CGGAAAAACCACCUUAAUUGGGGCGGAGGGUUAGUUUUAACAGCAAAGGGCCUUUACUAAAAUGGCGAAGGCCUUCCGUCGGCGUUGUUUUAAAAUGGGAAGCCUCGACCCUGUAUUGAAACUGAGCUGUUCGAAGGCGGCGUUGUGUGCAAUUCGGAUUAAUGAAGGGGAAGGGUUUUGUGUGGAAAAACGCCUUGGAGUGUGACAUUUCUGCGAGAAUGCUUAAAUACCGAUUUCCCGCAGGAACAAUGGCGCUGUCUUCAGUGGCACAGUGGAGCAGCUCUGAAGAUGCAAAGUUAGUUGAAUCCAUGGACAUGAAACCCACAGAUAUAGAGGGUUGGCCCGGUGCAGUGGCUCACGCCUGUAAUCCCAGCACUUUGGGAGGCCAAGGCGGGUGGAUCACCUGAGGUCAGAAGCUUGAGACCAGCCUGGCCAACAUGGUAAAACCCCAUCUCUACUAAUAAUACAAAACAAUUUGCUGGGCAUGGUGGUGCACGCUUGUAAUCCAAGCUACUCCAGAGGCUGAGGCAGAAGAAUCGCUUGAAUCCGAGAGGCAAAGGUUGCAGUGAGCCCAGAUCACACCACUGCUCUCCAACCUGGGCAACAAGAGCAAAACUCCGUCAAAAAAAAAAGAUACAGGGUCAACUGUACACAUUAAACACUUCUAUCAAC
rnacentral:lncRNA from 10 species